UGCUGUGAUGGUGUAAUUUGCGUCUUACUCUGGGUUUAGCGACAGUUGCCUGCUGUCACAUGCUGACCCAGACGGUUGACGAAAACUUAAUCUGAGCA